rnacentral:rRNA from 1 species
UACGUAGGCAGCGAGCGUUGUUCGGAGUUACUGGGCGUAAAGGGCGUCUAGGCGGCGGUACAAGCGCGAUGUGAAAGCUCCUGGCUCAACUGGGAGAGUGCGUAGCGAACUGUGCAGCUAGAGGCCAGGCGAUGGGGGUGGAAUUCCCGGUGGAGUGGUGAAAUGCGUAGAGAUCGGGAGGAACACCAGUGGCGCAAGCGGCCCCCAAGCCUGAACCUGACGCUGAGGCGCGAAAGCUAGGGGAGCAAACGGG